UACCUGGUUGAUCCUGCCAGUAGUCAUAUGCUUGUCUUAAAGAUUAAGC
rnacentral:rRNA from 1 species